rnacentral:rRNA from 1 species
AGAACGAACGCUGGCGGCAGGCUUAACACAUGCAAGUCGAGCGGGUAGCAAUACCAGCGGCAGACGGGUGAGUAACACGUGGGAACCUUCCUAGAGGUACGGAACAACGCAGGGAAACUUGCGCUAAUACCGUAUGUGCUCUUGCGAGGAAAGAUUUAUCGCCUUUAGACGGGCCCGCGUCGGAUUAGCUAGUUGGUGGGGUAAUGGCCUACCAAGGCAACGAUCCGUAGCUGAUCUGAGAGGAUGAUCAGCCACACUGGAACUGAGACACGGUCCAGACUCCUACGGGAGGCAGCAGUGGGGAAUCUUGGACAAUGGGCGCAAGCCUGACGCAGCCAUGCCGCGUGAAUGAUGAAGGUCUUAGGAUUGUAAAAUUCUUUCAGCGGGGACGAUAAUGACGGUACCCGCAGAAGAAGCCCCGGCUAACUUCGUGCCAGCAGCCGC